rfam:Stegodyphus mimosarum contig73555, whole genome shotgun sequence.
ACCUUCGUGGUGUAGUGGUCAGCACGCUGGGUGCGUUUUCUGGAGGUUCGUGGUUCGAGUCCCGCCGAAGGCA